GUCCCUAUCGUCUAGAGGCCUAGGACAUCGCCCUUUCACGGCGGUAACCGGGGUUCGAAUCCCCGUAGGGACGCCA
rnacentral:tRNA from 1098 species